rnacentral:rRNA from 1 species
GACUGCAGUCUGCAACUCGACUGCACGAAGCUGGAAUCGCUAGUAAUCGCGGAUCAGCAUGCCGCGGUGAAUACGUUCCCGGGCCCUGUACACACCGCCCGUCACACCAUGAGAGCCGGGAACACCCGAAGUCCGUAGUCUAACCAUUAAGGAGGACGCGGCCGAAGGUGGGUUUGGUAAUUGGGGUGAAGUCGUAACAAGGUAAC